AUUGAACGCUGGCGGCAUGCCUUACACAUGCAAGUCGAACGGCAGCACGGGUGCUUGCACCUGGUGGCGAGUGGCGAACGGGUGAGUAAUAUAUCGGAACGUACCUUAUUGUGGGGGAUAACGCAGCGAAAGCUGUGCUAAUACCGCAUAAUCCCUAAGGGGGAAAGCGGGGGACCGUAAGGCCUCGCGCAAUUAGAGCGGCCGAUACCUGAUUAGCUAGUUGGUGAGGUAAAGGCUCACCAAGGCAACGAUCAGUAGCUGGUCUGAGAGGACGAUCAGCCACACUGGGACUGAGACACGGCACAGACUCCUACGGGAGGCAGCAGUGGGGAAUUUUGGACAAUGGGGGCAACCCUGACCCAGCAAUGCCGCGUGAGUGAAGAAGGCCUUCGGGUUGUAAAGCUCUUUUGUCAGGGAAGAAACAGCAGCUCUAACACAGUAUGCGAAUGACGGUACCUGAAGAAUAAGCACCGGCUAACUACGUGCCAGCCGCCGCGGUAA
rnacentral:rRNA from 1 species